UCUAAGGAUGAGUGAAAGUAAAAUUUCACUCUAAAUAAUAUACAUCGGUAAUGUUGACCGUCCUCAUUUCUCUUCUUAAAGUAAUGUUUCCUUCUUGUAGGGCCGGUAGCUCAGUUGGUUAGAGCACACCCUUGAUAAGGGUGGGGUCGAAAGUUCGAGUCUUUCUCGGCCCACCAAAAACCUAAAUGGGGGAUUAGCUCAUCUGGGAGAGCGCCUGAUUUGCAUUCAGGAGGUAGCAGGUUCGAUCCCUGUAUCCUCCACCAGGAAACAUUUAGUUAUUAAAACUGUAAAUAAAAAUAAUUUAUAUCAAUAUCUAUAUCCGAACAUUAAAAGUUAUUAUUUAAUGUUCAAAAUAAAAAUUUGAUCACAACAUAGAUAAAUUUUCUGUUAAAAGAAUUUUUUUCUG
rnacentral:tRNA from 2 species